AUUGAACGCUGGCGGCAGGCUUAACACAUGCAAGUCGAGCGAGCGGCGGACGGGUGAGUAAUGUCUGGGAAACUGCAUGAUGGAGGGGGCUAACUACUGGAAACGGUAGCUAAUACCGCAUACCAUCAGAUGUGCCCAGAUGGGAUUAUCUAGUGGGUGGGGUAACGGCUCACCUAGGCGAAGAUCCCUAGCUGGUCUGAGAGGAGGACCUGCCACACUGGAACUGAGACACGGUCCAGAAUCCUACGGUAGGCAGCAGUGGGGAAGAUUGCACAAUGUGCGCAAGCCUGAUGCAGCCAUGCCGCGUGUAUGAAGAAGGCCUUCGGGUUGUAAAGUACUUUCAGCGAGGAGGCGUUACUCGCAGAAGAAGCACCGGCUAACUCCGUGCCAGCAGCCGCGGUAAUAC
rnacentral:rRNA from 1 species